GGUGCCAGACAAUGGCUGCUAGACUCUUUAUGACUCUCCUAUUGGUGGAGCUGUUUCUGCCGGAGUCAGGCUAGUAAGUAAUUGGCUAAGCAGUGGAGAAAGCAUGGUCACUGUGCACCAUUUCUUUCUCCAGCAAGAAGGAUAAAGACCUGAAGCUGGGAUCUGCAAUCAGAUGAGGAUGAAGAACUGCUGAGGCAGGUUCUCAGUGGAGCUACCACAGGCAAACUAACUUCCUGCUAAGCAAAACCACUGCCUAUUACUCUGAUAAUGAGAAAACUGCAACCCACAGACCAAAGUACAAGGCUCAACCACAGAGUUUGAAGCAGGGCCAAAUGUUCUCCCAGGCAUCAAGGACAGCUGUAUCUAGAACUGGUUUCAUUUCCUGCUAGGUUAUGCAGUGUCUCUGGGAGGCCAAGGAGAAGGGAAGCUACUAACACUGUAAAUAAAACCAAGCCCUCAGUUCUGUACCGGCAGAUCCUGAAAACGUCUAAGAUAUCUCUUCAAUGGCUGGUUUAAUAGAAGACUGCUAGAUUCUCAUGUCUGUUUCUGCAUUCAAUCUGUUGGUGAAAUGUGUUGAACUAUAUAAAGAAAACCGGCCUCACACAAAUUUUAUAUAUGU